rnacentral:rRNA from 1 species
UACGUAGGGUGCAAGCGUUACUCGGAAUUACUGGGCGUAAAGCGUGCGCAGGCGGCUAUGCAGGACAGAUGUGAAAUCCCCGGGCUCAACCUGGGAACUGCAUUUGUGACUGCAUGGCUAGAGUACGGUAGAGGGGGAUGGAAUUCCGCGUGUAGCAGUGAAAUGCGUAGAUAUGCGGAGGAACACCGAUGGCGAAGGCAAUCCCCUGGACCUGUACUGACGCUCAUGCACGAAAGCGUGGGGAGCAAACAGG